rnacentral:snRNA from 1 species
GUACUCGCUUCGGCGGUACAUAUACUAAAAUUGGAACGAUACAGAGAAGAUUAGCAUGGCCCCUGCUCAAGGAUGACACGCAAAAUCGUGAAGCGUUCCAUAUUUUC